GUUAAAAAUUUUUUUUUCUGUUUUCAAUAGAAAAAAAACAUUUGUUUGCAUAGGAAUUCAUGAAGGUGACCCAACCUGGAAAAAGAACUAUUCACUGUGGCCUUGGGGCUCUUGUGACAAAUUAGUUCCUUCAGAGAUUGUAUUCAACCCUGAGGAGUGGAUUAAACUUACAAGAAAUAUCUAUAACUGGACCGAAGAAUAUGGAAGGUUUGACCCAUCUUCUUGGGAAUCUGUGGCCAACGAAGAGAUGUGGCAAGCAAGGAUGAAAACACCGUUCUUCAUCUUUAACUUGGCAGAAACCGUGAACAUACCUUCAGAUGUGAAGGCUCAACUCUACACUCACGCGUAUAAUCUUUAUAAGGAGAUUGUCUCUUUACAAAAGGAACACCCAGUGAAUUGGCACAAGAACUAUGCCAUCGCCUGUGAGCGGAUGUUACGCCUUCGGGAAAGGGGUGCAGACCCUGAAGUCUUGUUAUCUGAAACCAUCAGACACUUCCGUCUCUACAGCCAGAAAGCACGGAAUGAUCCACAGCUGCCUGACAUUUUCGUUGCUCUAAAGCACCUAAGAAAAGAACUGCAAAGUCUGAGAAAUAGGAAAAAUGUCUGAGGCAGCAGGAUGUGAAAAACCUGCUCAUCGUUCCGCUUCCCAAAUUCCAAAGUCCGAAAGUUUUUCCUCCAAGAAAAAAAAUUGUAAAAAAAAAAAAAAUUGAAGACGAAGUCAUCUUCCAGAUAUGGUACAGCAGUACUGUGUAGUGGGGCGCUUGAGUGAUUGCGAUGUGCUACGUUUGCGAAUUCCGUGUAUCCCAUGUCAAUUAGCAUUUCAGUGAGAAUCUUCCAGAAAACCUUCCUACUUCCUCAGUCUUUCACCUAAUGACUUUACUUGAUUAGGUGCUAGAAGAGAAUGGGCUAUUUUCAUGUACUUUAAAUAUCGAUUGUCUCUUUCAUUGGGAUCAGUUUUGAAGGUUAAAAUUCAUAAAAUACUGAUAACAGACCAAAGACACAUUUUGUUUCCCAAAAGUGUGUUUUUUUUUUAAAGUGAACCUUGCUCUGCUUCAAGUUAAAAUCCUUUUUUUUUUUUUUUUUUUGAGUAGCUAUGGUUGUUUCAUAAUCUCACACUUCAAGCUAAACACCAAGCCAGUGAAUAUUUUGAAAAAAGUUGGGAUUUUUAUGGUCUUUGAUAAUUCUCUGAAAUCAUGAAAAAAAUAAAGCUGAUUUGUUUGCUUUCUUUCAGUUGCAUAAAGUGGCAAAUAAAAAGGAUUUUGUAUUUCCUUA